GUGCCUUGACUGCUUUUUGUGAAGUUAUAUUGCCUGGCUGAAGAUUUUUUCACCAGUUUGGUCUACCUCUACCACAGCCCCACAUCAGCCAGGCCCAGAUUUCAGAGGUUUUGAAAUUGAGUUGAAUCAGCAUCCUGGGAAAAUGGAAGCCUUGUGCUGGACAGAAACACAGGGGUGGAGAAAAUAAUUCUACUGUGAUGCUGCUGAUGUUAUAUGAUAUUGAAGACAUCCACAUGCUCGCUAUUCUCACGCUUAAGAGAUGCAGAAUAUCACACAUCUGCUAGGCAUGACUUAUUGUGGAAGGAUCAGCAUCUUGAAUCAACAAGAGCUCGCCAAGGCACUCUGCACCAAUGUUUAUGGUUGCUUUCUUGCUGCUGGUCCUGUAACUUGGUCCUCUGCCAUCUGAAUUACCUUGUCAUUUGUGCUAGUCUUAUUUCAGUUCUUACUGAGUAAUCUGCAAGGAGAAACAUCUAUUGGCUGUAAGAAUAACAGCACAGAACGGAAAAGGAAAGCUUGUCUCUUUAAUCAGUGCUGAAAGAAGAAUGAAUUUGGAUGAAGCCACAGUGAACUUGGAUGAAGCCAUAGACUUGUGAUCUUGAACACUCGAAUAUGUUGUGGCUAAUUGGCAGCAAUUAGUGGGUUUCGUUUCACACACGCAAAUUUGUAAACUUCUUUUGGAUCAAACCAGGGAGAACUGAGGCACUUCCUAUCUCUAAUUCUUCUUCCUUCCUGGCAGAUCGAAGGGACCUGCCUCAUCCAGAUUUGUCUCUAGGCACCUGCUGUGCAUCUUCCCAUGCAUCUUGCGGAAUGCAAAGCGCUGAGAAACAAGGAAUUUUACAGAGAUGCCAAAAAGGGGAUUUAGAAAUGGAAAAUCUUCCUGUUAGGUCUCCAUAUUGUUUAAGUUUUUAAGUAGGGGUGGAAUCAAAAUGUAAAGAAUGUCUGCCUAAUGGUUUAAAAGCAAAAGUUAUAAUGGUGUUUAGCUACUACACAAAGGUUGACCUUGUCAUGCACAGCUUUGUAUGGGGGAUAAAUUAAUGCAGCUUCACACCUGAUUUCUGUGUCACAUGGAGCAGAAAGACUUUGUGCUUGGUUCUGAACAGUCAGAAAUGUAACAGCAUCUGCUCUAGAAGCCUUUGGGAGGAAAGUAGUUUUGAUCUAUUCUCAGCUCGCAGGGCAGAUGGGGAGUGUUUGUGUCUAGUUCUGCUAAUGUUAUGUGUUGUCAGCUCUUCCUUUUUCUGGCACUCUGUAUACAGAAAUUUUCAGUGUUCCUGAAUUAAUACAGGACUCAGACCCAGCUGUUAAUAACUAAAACUUCUCACAAAUGGAACUUCAUCCUAUAGCUUCUGCUGAGACACAGCAGCACAGCAAACUAGGAAAAUGACUGCACACGUUUGACGUGCUGUAUAUGCAAGAAGGACAGCUCUGCACGUGGACUUAUGGAAGUACAACGGAUCGACCUUCAGAAUAAAACACUGGUGUGAAAAAACUUGGAAAACUAGGCUUCUGAUUACAAACCCCUGCUUUUUCGGCCAAGCAGCCACCAGAGGGCAACGUGCUCUCAGCACCAGGACGAUGGUAAGCGGGAGCAGGGGUGUGAAAAUACAACUCGCCAUUCCUGCAGCGUUUUUGCACGUCGGUUUGUGUCUCGCUCAUAUGCUGGGGCGUCAGGAAAGGGCUUCCUUCUAUCUGGCAUUUGCUUGGCACUCUGUGGGGUUACCUAAUGCCAGUGCCUGAAGGCUGUAUCUCCUCCCUGUGUUAUGUGACAAUGUCUUGUUCCUGCUUUUUGCAAAGAUAUAUAUUUGCAAAUAUAAUUAUUUGUAAUAUAAUCUUUUAAAGGUUGCAUGAGGCUUUGGUUUCUGGAGAGGUGGCGGUGUUCUUCAUCGUUUUAUGGUAGAUCUUGAGUGCUAGUGUAUGUCUGCUUCUGUAGCCAUCUAAAUGCGUAUGACUCUCAGCUUUUCCAAAACAGCCCUGGUCCUCAGCCCUGUAUCGAAGAGCAUUAAGAGGUGAUGAUCUUUCUCUCCUAGAGACUACAAUGUGAGCAAAAACUCUUAGAAUUUUAGGAAGAGCAGUAUGGUGACGGCUGCUGGAAGAUGAGCCCUCUGUGCAUCUCUGCCUGGCCAGGAAUUUGAGAAACUUAUCCCAAACAGGAAAACCUCUGGGUGCACCUGAUCUGAUCCCAGAGAGAAGAAUUUGUGGGGAGCUUCUGUCUGGGGCCUGUGCCUGCAGGCUGAACAAAAAGCACACUUGUAACAAAUGAAGGGCUGCCUUGAAACAAAGCUGAGCACUGGGUUUGUGUCAGCUUGCAGGAGCUGAACUCACAGGGAAGCCUGUAACUGUGCAUUUACUUUCACAUCACUGAACAUGGUCUUCAGCUUUGGUGACAGAAAGCCUUGCUUUCAAGUCCACCAGACAAGCCAAGCAGUGGCAGUUUUGCAUAUAACUCUGUUUUCAUCAGUUCCCUAGGGACUGGGAGAGAUCUCCCAUCCUGAAUGUUUGUACCUCUAAGGCAUGGGUGGAAUGCAUAAAAGGUAACAGCAUACUGUCUGCUUGGAAAAAAGAGACAUCUACAAGACAUGGAAGUUUAAAAUGCAUGUGAGUGGAAAAAUUAGGUGUAAGCAACUAUAAAUUAUUAUUGAGAUUUCAAAGAAAUAGCCAGAAGCAUUUCCAAUCGUAAAUCUGAUUUAGAACACAGUUUGGAAAUGUAGUAUCUGAUCACUUUUGCAUUUACAUCAGCGUUCAGAUUCUUUGGAGCACAGCUGCAAUCUUUCAGGAGUGCUUGAGCUCUGAGGAUCUUGGGUUGAGCCACCCGGAGGCCUGUGCUAGGUCCUGGGGAUCUCUGAAAGACAGACCCUGUUACCCAUACUACUUUUUUUAAGCAAAGAGCAGCUCAGUCCCAAAGGCAGCACUACUCCCUUGAGUACAGCCCCUGAGUGUUUGUUUAUUGAUGAUACAGAUAAAGCUUCUGUCAGCGCUGAGUUGUGCAUGACAUGGAUUCUGUAAGAACCUUCAAUGCAGCUUUGAAUAGGGCCAGCUCUUCCUUAAAUGCACUCAACUCCAAGACUCUCCUAUAAACUGUGUGUGCACAUUUUGGGCGUUACCAUUGGGUUCAGAAAAGAAGGUAAAGACAGCUGUCUUCCAUAUUCGUAGAGCUUAGCAUAGGCUCACUUGUGUCAAGUUUUAAAGGUGUAUCUCAACCGAACAAGACAGUGCAAAGCAUUAAUAAAAAAUAUGGGGUCUCUUCAUAUCUUAAUUAUUUGUGCGACUGUUUCCCUUUGACCUUUCUCCAUAGGCAUCUGUUUGAUGUAUUCAUGCGAAGAUGUUUUGCACAGAGGGAGGAAAAAAUGUUCACCUGUUCAAAAAGCUGCCACCAGGACGCAGAUACAAGCAAAGAUUCUUUCUCUCAUCGCCGUAUUAUUUUCCUGAACACACUGUAAUUUCAUCAAUUUUCCAUGCUUAUGGUCAUGAAUGCUUGACAUUACCAUGUCUUUGCGUUAACAAAAAAGAAAUUUCAUGGCUUAAGUUUUCACUAGAAGAACAGGGAAAGCGUGAAAAGCCAGCCAAAUUGCAGAGCGCUGCACUAUCCUUUGUUAAACAGCAAGAUUUUCUUGUGGGGAAAUGUGUGUUGUUUGUUUAUUAGGAGUUUACAAGAAACCAGAAAUCAUAAAUGUUUCCUCUAUUUUAACAGUAUACUGCUUUGCACCUGAAGGACCCUUUAUAAGAUUUCAGGGUAUUAAUGGAAUGAAAUAAAACAUUUUAUUAAAUAUAUAUAUAUCUUUUCUUUGGGUAUUUGAGAAAAUAGGUAAAUAUUUGCAGGGCUAGCUCAUCUGCCAUUUUGAAUGAGUGCAGUGCUGUUUGUCAGUACUAGGUAGAGAUAUGACUCAAAAUAUUUCUAGGUUAAUAGUUCUUUUUUUUCCAGUACUUUAGCUGAACAGUUUGCAACAGUAAUGCUAACAAACAAGCUGGAAGGUUUGAAUGAAUAGAAUGUGCUUAACUUGGAAACACUGACCAGGGAGAUAUGGCCAUGACCUGAAACCAGAAUAAGGUGCUGGAUGUUCCUGAGCAAUCUUAGCGAACUUAUGACUUGCUGUAACCAGAAGCUUGAGCUACUUUUUUUUCAUAUCUGAUUUCUAUUUCAGCUAUGAGAAACAACAGUUAAUGUAAUGUAAAAAGGCUUAGGCUGGGGAGUCCAGAGAUGCAAUCGUUUUCAUCUUCCAGUUGAUGUUGUAGCUGCUGCACCACUGUUCCCAUUUGUGCUAUCCCAUCAACUCAGCAGGCCAAGCAACAAACGUAUGAUAACAUUAAGUGUGGUUAUCAGAAGUUUUAUUUUCUGUGUGCAAGAUUAACUGUGAAAUUCAUGUAGCUGUUUGUUAAAAGGAGCUUCUCUGAGCAGGGGAGGAAGAAAUGGCAUCCGGCUUUUUUGAAGCAACAAUGUUGGCCCAGCAAGUGUAAGAGAGAGAGAGGGAGGGAGGGAGGAAGAGAGAGAGAGAGAGAGAGAGAGAGAAGCUGCUGCUUCAUUUGCUGGUGGACAGGUAAGUAUUGCUUCCCAUGGAGCACCUUCAGUUGAGGCUGGAACAAAAUGAGUUGGCAGAGUCCAACUCUGCUAGUGGACACCAUCAAGUAACUUUACCCAAGUCAGCAGUUACGAAAGCAUGGAGCUGGAAUCAGCAGAAGCAUCACAGGAACUAACAUGUAUCCUAAGGGAGGACUUGAGCUACCAAAUUAUAUAGUAGUUUCACUCUCCAUGAAAAUGAAAUUAUAUCGGAGUCCCAUAUUCAUUUCUCUAGUCUGACAGCCAGGACUUGAUUCAUAUGCUGUUUCCUCUCUGUCAGUAUUAUUUCAUCAGACUGCAAAAAUGCUAAUGGAAAACAUAAGCUGCCCAGACAGCUACUCUUGUGCUUUACUAAUAAUUAUGCCACCAAAUAAUGUCAGGCAUGCUAGGGAGAGUAAACUCUGACAUGGCUGUACAUACCACCAGUAGCUCUUUCCAUCUUUUGCUUUCCAAUACUUAUUUCUUAAAAUUUGAAUGACUACUGUUUCCUUUCAGUGUAUUACAGCCAGAUUUACAUUUGUCCCGUGUGUUUGUUUGUUGCUGUUUUUCACAGGACUUAAUGGGCGAGAAAGAAGAUGUCUAUGAUCAACAAGUGGGAAAACUGUAAAUGCUUUGUAAAUGUUUGCUGUAUAGCCAAACAUACAUUAUGCUUUUAUCAUCUUCUGAAUUUAAUAUACAUGUGAAUUACUCUCAGUGCUUGUGUAAGUUGCUGGUGGCCCUUGAGAAUGGAACACGUUAUGCAAUGGGGCAGUGGUGUUGGCACUGAGUGCUGUGCAUAACACAUGGCCCACUGGUGUUCUGUUCUGUUGUUAUCAAGCUAUAAAAGCUAGACAACAUGAGAGUAGGUUACGAUUAUAAAGCCUUAAUUGGGAAGACC